rnacentral:rRNA from 1 species
AGUUUGAUCAUGGCUCAGAACGUACGCUGGCGGCACGCCUAACACAUGCAAGUCGAACGCAGUAGCAAUACUGAGUGGCAAACGGGUGAGUAUAAUGUGGGAAUCUGCCUUUUGGUUCGGAAUAACACGAGGAAACUUGUGCUAAUACCGGAUAAGCCCUUACGGGGAAAGUUUUAAUGCCAAAAGAUGAGCCCGCACUUGAUUAGCUAGUUGGUAAGGUAAUGGCUUACCAAGGCAACGAUCAAUAGCUGUUCUUAGAGGAAGACCAGCCACAUUGGGACUGAGACACGGCCCAAACUCCUACGGGAGGCAGCAGUGGGGAAUCUUGCACAAUGGGGGAAACCCUGAUGCAGCGAUGCCGCGUGAGUGAAGAAGGCCCUUGGGUUGUAAAA